GUUUUACUUUGAAUGCUGCACAUACUGAGUUUAACCCUUCUACUGCUGUAGAUGUAACUCCACCAGCAUCAUUGGGACUGGCUGGAACAAGAGUUGUGGGCUGGCUAAUGUCAAUUCUGUGCAAAUCUCUACAGAACUGCGGUCAUCUGACGCUCUCAGCCAAUGAAUGGAUGGCGGGUCGAUGUCCGGUUUCUGCAGAGAUUUCAUCACAGGCUAUGG